rnacentral:rRNA from 1 species
UACGUAGGGGGCUAGCGUUGUCCGGAUUUAUUGGGCGUAAAGAGCGUGUAGGCGGCUUUACAGGUCCGUUGUGAAAACUCGAGGCUCAACCUCGAGACGCCGGUGGAAACCGUAAAGCUAGAGUCCGGAAGAGGAGAGUGGAAUUCCUGGUGUAGCGGUGAAAUGCGCAGAUAUCAGGAAGAACACCCGUGGCGAAGGCGGCUCUCUGGGACGGUACUGACGCCGAGACGCGAAAGCGUGGGGAGCGAACAGG